AUUGAACGCUGGCGGCAGGCCUAACACAUGCAAGUCGGACGGUAGCACAGAGGAGCUUGCUCCUCGGGUGACGAGUGGCGGACGGGUGAGUAAUGUCUGGGGAUCUGCCCGAUAGAGGGGGAUAACCACUGGAAACGGUGGCUAAUACCGCAUAACGUCGCAAGACCAAAGAGGGGGACCUUCGGGCCUCUCACUAUCGGAUGAACCCAGAUGGGAUUAGCUAGUAGGCGGGGUAAUGGCCCACCUAGGCGACGAUCCCUAGCUGGUCUGAGAGGAUGACCAGCCACACUGUAACUGAGACACGGUCCAGACUCCUACGGGAGGCAGCAGUGGGGAAUAUUGCACAAUGGGCGCAAGCCUGAUGCAGCCAUGCCGCGUGUAUGAAGAAGGCCUUCGGGUUGUAAAGUACUUUCAGCGGGGAGGAAGGCGGUGAGGUUAAUAGCCGCGUCGAUUGACGUUACCCGCAGAAGAAGCACCGGCUAACUCCGUGCCAGCCGCCGCAGUAA
rnacentral:rRNA from 1 species